GUGCUAAAACCUAGCCGCCGCCUCCUCCCUCGCUCGCUUCCACUCCUCCCGCAGCCGCCACCUCCUCCCUCCCACGCAGCCGCCUCCCUCCCUCACUCGCUCCUCAUCCGGCGACGGCGGCUCCCACACCCGCGUUCUUCCUCCCCCAACACGCCCCGCUCGGCCCCGCACGCCUAGGCGGCUUCCACCAACCACGGCGACGGCGCAGCGGCCACGGAGGAGGGCGGCGGAUCAGCGGCGCCGGCGAUGGCGUCCGUGGCAGCGGUGGAGGGCGCGGCUUCGUUCGGUGCUGUUGCGCGCGCAGCAGGCGGCGGCGCGGCCGGGGCGCGCGUCAGAGUCGAUGCGCGUGGUGGCGGUGAACAAGACGAAGCCCGUGGGCGUCAUCCACGGCGCGGACGACGCCGGCCACCGCUGCUUCGGCUAGAACUACGUCCAGGAGCUCAUCGACAAGGCCCCCCAGGUUGUACCCCCAGCUGAGAUGAAUGAAAUUUUUAUCCCCUUUCACCGCGUGAAAGAACUGCUGAUUGGAACGUGAAUGGAAAACAAGUCUCUCUCUCUCUCUCUCUCUCUCUCUCUCUCUCUCGUGCUUCUGCUCGCCCGGGAUGCAGCUCUUCAGUGAGCUCGACAAGAUGUGCUUGAAGAAAAGGGCCAUUGGAUUGUACAGGAAAAAUGGGAUGUUGUUCUUUGCUGCUUCACCUAGCCUUGCUGCUCAACCACGUUGCCCCUGGUAUUGUUGUUGUGGGUUGGUGCUGCUGCUGUUGCAGGGGCAGCAGUGUCUCUAAGCAAACAGGUUGUUGUGUACCUACGACAUAGGUUAAACUGUGGGCUUACUUUUCUUAGGUCAAGGCUCUGCUAGAUGCCAUCUUUAAGUUGGUGUGUACCUACAAAAUAGGUCAUUCGUACCUAGCUCAAUGCUCUUGAAGUUAUCUCUAAGUAAACAUUGUUUACCCAUUACAUUGUUAAUUCCAGUUGCUUGGUUGAUUAUCGUCGUACAAUAUAAUUCAGAGAACACUAUUGUGUUUGUUUAUUCAUAGAAAACACUUCAAAGUCUGCUGAUAGAUCAUAAUGGACUUCCUACUUGGAUAGAUGCCCUCACUCAUAAUUUUUCUAUCUCUAUUUAUUUUCUACCAACUUCACUAAGAUUAGAGAUAUGACGUUUCCUACCUCUAAUUACUUCUCUACUGGCUUCACUUAAAUUAGAGAUAUGAUGGUAGAUAAUCUUGGCCCACGAGCGGCACGGCUCAUUUAACCCAGAGAAGUGGAAGGAUUUAGUUUAAGACGGACAAAUGAUCAUGUCCAUUAGCUAUUUUCUAAUUAUGAGAUAUAUAGCUCUCUGGAUAGAUGCAUGUUCACUUCCUUUUUGUUUCUUUUUAUUUGUUUGGCUACUCUUGGGCUGCAGUGGUAUGUGAAAUGUUGCAACAAAAAUGCCGAAUAAUGGAAACCAAGUCAAUUAUGUGAUUCAGAUGUAUCUUUCAGCAUAUCAAUCUUAGUCCAGGUGGUUUCCUACUUAGUGCUUUGGGAGGGAUAUAUGCAUUUUGGUUCAUAUCGAUGUUUGUAGGGUGUGCCCAGUUUUCAGUGCACUGCAGUACCUGUUCAGGUUAGUCGUGUUCAGGUUAGUGCUUUGGGAGAAAUAUGUGUAUGUGUUCCAGGAUCCAGUAGGCCACCUUCUCAUUGUUGUUUAUAUAUGCACCAAGCAUUGGUUGCUGCUUGCUAAUUAUAGUUGCCAUUGUGAUUAAUAACAGGUAUUUUUACGGUUUACUUAAUUUUCUACCUUCUCAUUGCUGUUACUCGCUAGCAGCAGAAAUAUUCAGCUUAUUCAUGAGGUAACAGCAGGGUCUGUUGCGCUGAAUCUUUGAGAUGAAACCAAACCAAACUAAUACAUACCUAGCAUCCGUCCAGAAGUCUUGAUUACGGAAUAUAUAUGGUCCCAUUUUAAGUUUCAGAGGAUAUGCUCGGUUAUCUGUUCUUUUGUAGGGAUUUGAGAAAAAAGAAAAGAAAAAACACUUAUAAUAAGGCAAUGGCUUCGUGAGAAAGCACAAGAAAUAUCGUUGCGCGGCAGCAAGGCAUACCUUAAUUUGCUUCAUGGUGAACUGGAAAUGUGCUUUUAUGUCAAACUGAAAAAAAAUAUGUUGUCUGCUAGCACCGUAAUAUGUCCAUCCAUUAACCACUAUUUUGUCGAAAUACAGGCCUCUGUUUCUGGUUAUUACAAGCUAGGUAGUAUUGUGGCAGUGAUCGGAAACUUCUACACGACUCAUCACCAUCAUGUCCAUGCCCCAGACUUGGGAAGAAUUUUGUAGUUCCACUGUUGGAUUCCAAGCAGGCAAUUCAUGAUCAGCCUUGCGCAAGCUAUGGAGUUUCAAUAAAUCGAUUGACAGGUAGAGUGACUGCUGGGGUCAUAAACGAAGAAACAAUGAAGUCACUGGACAACAAAACGGAUUAUUUAUUCCCAAUGUCGUUGCUCUUGCAAAAUUGCAGGCCUAUUGGUUAUGUGGUGGUUAUGUUGGUUUUAUCUUCCGGUUGGUUGUUAGUCCCCUACAAGAGUUGUCACAAUAUGAAAAGGCUCCAAAAGGUGUCACGGUCAGGAAUCUUUUUUCCAGGCAUCCGGUGAUGAUUAGGUAACCAAACCAUAUCACAAGAUGUGUGUUUGUGUGGUCUGGCAAAGUAAUGCUCUUCUUUUGUGAGAAGAGGGCCACAGUACCAAUUGGGCAGAUUUUGUCAAGGCGGCGGGAAUAAAAGAAUAACAUAUACUCAGAUAAGGAUCUCGCCUUCAAGAUUAUAAGGGGAAAUUAUUGCUCCCUGUCCUGUCCAUACGCUUUAGAAGGAAAUCACAAGUGUAUUUUCUAUACAAAACCAUCAUGUGGUCAUCUAUAUUACGAACUAUUCACACCAGAUUCAUAUGGAAUGGCACUCAUGGUGGUAGUUGAACCAAAGCUAUCUAUCAGUAUGCCUAACUAUGGCUUCGUAGUUUUAGUGCAUCCACUGCCAUUGUGUUGGCUUUUGCUCUCUAAUGUUCCUACUUGUACUACUGAACUUAAUGUCAACUAACUAGCUUUUGUAAUAUCAUGGCUGCAUUGAACUUGAUGUUGCCUUACUUC